GAUGAACGCUAGCUACAGGCUUAACACAUGCAAGUCGAGGGGUAACAAGAGGAAAGCUUGCUUUUCUUGUUGACGACCGGCGCACGGGUGAGUAACGCGUAUCCAACCUGCCUAUAACUAGGGAAUAACCUUGCGAAAGUAAGACUGAUACCCUAUGAUUUCCUUUGAUGACAUCAGAUUAGGAAUAAAGAUUUAUCGGUUGUGGAUGGGGAUGCGUCUGAUUAGCUUGUUGGCGGGGUAACGGCCCACCAAGGCAACGAUCAGUAGGGGUUCUGAGAGGAAGGUCCGCCACAUUGGAACUGAGACACGGUCCAAACUCCUACGGGAGGCGGCAGUGAGGAAUAUUGGUCAAUGGGCGGAAGCCUGAACCAGCCAAGUAGCGUGCAGGAUGACGGCCCUAUGGGUUGUAAACUGCUUUUAUACAGGAAUAAAGUUAGCCACGUGUGGUUAUUUGUAGGUACUGUAUGAAUAAGGACCGGCUAAUUCCGUGCCAGCCGCCGCAGUAA
rnacentral:rRNA from 1 species